rnacentral:tRNA from 1 species
GAGGGUAGAGCUCAGUGGUAGAGCGCAUACUUAGCAUGCAUGAGGUUCUGGGUUCAAUCCCCGGUAUCGCCA